UGGCAAUUCUGAUGUACCACAGCAGCAGAGAGAAGCCUAAGUCCAUGAUGAUUGUUCGAGUUGAAUGACCACCGGCCACCGAUACAAUCCACAUGUCAUGAAUGAGACUCCCAUGAUUCAUGUCUCCACCCAUCCACAUCAAAAUCCUCACUCGUGUAUUCAUGACUCUGGUCUAUAAAACCGAUAGAGGGUUUAUAACAACGAGAUCAGCUCAAGUUUGCGAAAUUGCAGAGAAAGAGAAUUCUGGAAACAGUCAAUUUCACCAUAUAUGAAGGGAGACCUCACAAUGAAGGAAUUCGUAAGAACCCAAAGAUAUGGAAACCAAUGAUGACUAACAGCUGUUGUGUUCAUGACUAUAAGGACAUCACAAAAUACAAGAGCGAUAAGACAAGAUUUCAAUCUUCAUACCUGACUCCAAGAUCAAGUCCAUGGCGAUCAAACAAAUUUCAGUGGCCACACAAACUGUGGGUGCUUGUAUUUAUUUACCAUGUAAUUUUUACUAUUCCACCCCAGACACAUGUAACCUCCAUCUUCCUUAUUUUGGACAUAAAAUUAGAGGCUUCUUUUAA